rnacentral:rRNA from 1 species
ACUCAAAGGAAUAGACGGGGACCCGCACAAGCAGUGGAGUAUGUGGUUUAAUUCGAAGCAACGCGAAGAACCUUACCAGGGCUUGACAUCCCUAGAAUCCUCACGAGAGUGAGGAGUGCCUUCGGGAACUAGGUGACAGGUGGUGCAUGGUUGUCGUCAGCUCGUGUCGUGAGAUGUUGGGUUAAGUCCCGCAACGAGCGCAACCCUUAUUGCUAGUUGCUAACAUUUAGUUGAGCACUUUAGUGAGACUGCCGUUGACAAAACGGAGGAAGGUGGGGACGACGUCAAAUCAUCAUGCCCCUUAUGUCCUGGGCUACACACGUACUACAAUGGCGAUUUAACAACAGGUGGCCAAACCGCGAGGUGGAGCUAAUCCCCAAAAAUCGUCCCAGUUCGGAUUGUAGGCUGAAACUCGCCUGCAUGAAGUUGGAAUUGCUAGUAAUCGCGAAUCAGAAUGUCGCGGUGAAUACGUUCCCGGGUCUUGUACACACCGCCCGU